rnacentral:rRNA from 1 species
UACGUAGGGGGCAAGCGUUGUCCGGAUUUAUUGGGCGUAAAGCGCGCGCAGGCGGUCUUGUAAGUUGCGAGUGACAGGUGGUGGCUUAACUGCCACAGGCCUUGGAAAACUGCAAGACUUGAGGACUUCAGAGGGAUGCGGAAUUCCUGGUGUAGCGGUGAAAUGCGCAGAUAUCAGGAGGAACACCGGUGGCGAAGGCGGUUCUCUGGGCCUUACCUGACGCUGAGGAGCGAAAGCAUGGGGAGCAAACAGG